AUGAGUUCAUCCCCGAAGAGGAAAAGAAGCACAUGAGAGAGAGAGAGAGACAGCGCGCGCGGAAGCAACAGCGAAGGGGGAGGGGGUUAUAAAAAGGAUCGAGUAACGGACGGUGCAGAUAAGCAAAGUGGGAGCUCAUACUCUCAUCUCGGUCGUUUCCUUUCUCCUCUCUUCUCCAGCGUCCGAUCUCCUCUUUGAGGGAAAAAAAUCCACCGAUUCUUCUUCGACGCGCGCCAAAUACAAAUCUCUCAUUCCUUCCUCUCAGGGUUUCGACGGUCAUGGCCGACGCUCCGGCGAGUCCAGGCGGUGGGAGCCACGAGAGCGGCGAGCAGAGCCCUCGCUCGAAUGUUCGGGAGCAGGACAGGUACCUUCCGAUCGCGAAUGUCAGCCGGAUCAUGAAGAAGGCGCUUCCAGCUAACGGCAAGAUCGCCAAGGAUGCCAAGGAAACUGUGCAGGAAUGUGUGUCAGAGUUCAUCAGUUUUAUCACUAGCGAGGCAAGUGAUAAAUGCCAGAGGGAGAAGAGAAAGACGAUUAAUGGUGAUGAUCUGCUUUGGGCAAUGGCAACGUUAGGGUUCGAAGACUAUAUUGAUCCGCUCAAGGUGUACCUGAAUAGGUACAGAGAGAUGGAGGGUGAUACCAAAGGAUCUGCAAAGAGUGUAGAUAAAAAAGAUGGAGUUGGAAUUCAGCAGGUUUCAAAUCCCCAGAUUACUCAUCAGGGAUCUUAUACGCAAGGCGUGAACUAUAUGAAUUCUCAAGAGUGCAACUUUGGCUCAGGUUGGUUUUGAAAUUUGUUGAACUUUCGAUGGGCUUGAACCCUAACCUGAGCCCAAUGUAGUUGAAAUUCUUCAAUGUGGGCAACUCAAAUUGCAACUCAAGAUGCCAUCUAUAGAAAAUAGAAAAGCGAAAAAUGGACAAGGAACCUGCUAGAUUAUUUGGGGGAUCUAUCUACAUGCAAACAAAAUGAGAGAAAACAUCCAUUCAUAGAGAGAGAGGGCAUCCCAGCCUAACUUUUUUAUGAUUGCAAAACAAAGGCCAAACUAAAUGCUAAAGUUCAUCCUUUUUAUUGCUUUAUUGUAUUCUAAUAUGAAUUUAUUUGAGAUUGCAUCAAUAUCUGAAAUUUAGAGUAUGAGGAUCCAUGAUCUUGGGAAUUUGACAAAAGUUUUAGUGCUGGCUGCCAAUCUGAUGCAACCUUUCUUUUAUCCGGUCUUGGGAUCAACAGUGUAAGACAAGCUUACACUGGUAGAGUGAAAUUUCGACUAUAUCUUUUUAUCUUUAAUUUUUCCAUCUAGUAAUUGCGUUGAAUAGAGAGGCCUCACUGCAUUGACAACAAUGUCGUAUAUUUUUACCUUUGUUAUAGUGUUUCCUUGGUGGUUGUAGCCAAUAGAAAAUUUCUGGAUACCCGUCAAUUUCCAUGAGUAACACCAGAAAAGCUUGAAACUUUGGCUUUAUUUUUGUAUUUUUCAUAAUGGUAUGAUCUCCAUACUUGCAAGUUCUUAGCUUAUUCAAUCCCUCUAGUCAGUCAUCUGGCAAACGGUUUGUCUUGACAUAGGUUGAUUAACUGAAGUGGUUUUUCCUAGUACCAAAGAACAAAAUAUCAAUACAAUAUGCCCUAUAUUGGUGGGCCC